GAUGAACGCUGGCGGCGUGCCUAAUACAUGCAAGUCGAACGCGCAGCGAAAGGUGCUUGCACCUUUCAAGCGAGUGGCGAACGGGUGAGUAACACGUGGAUAACCUGCCUCAAGGCUGGGGAUAACAUUUGGAAACAGAUGCUAAUACCGAAUAAAACUUAGUAUCGCAUGAUACAAAGUUAAAAGGCGCUACGGCGUCACCUAGAGAUGGAUCCGCGGUGCAUUAGUUAGUUGGUGGGGUAAAGGCUUACCAAGACGAUGAUGCAUAGCCGAGUUGAGAGACUGAUCGGCCACAUUGGGACUGAGACACGGCCCAAACUCCUACGGGAGGCUGCAGUAGGGAAUCUUCCACAAUGGGCGCAAGCCUGAUGGAGCAACGCCGCGUGUGUGAUGAAGGCUUUCGGGUCGUAAAGCACUGUUGUAUGGGAAGAAAUGCUAAAAUAGGGAAUGAUUUUAGUUUGACGGUACCAUACCAGAAAGGGACGGCUAAAUACGUGCCAGCCGCCGCGGUAAUAC
rnacentral:rRNA from 1 species